CCUACGGGAGGCAGCAGUGAGGAAUAUUGGUCAAUGGACGGAAGUCUGAACCAGCCAUGCCGCGUGCAGGAAGACGGCUCUAUGAGUUGUAAACUGCUUUUGUACAAGGGUAAACCUGAAUACGUGUAUUCAGCUGAAAGUACUGUACGAAUAAGGCUCGGCUAACUCCGUGCCAGCAGCCGCGGUAAUACGGAGGAUCCACGUGUUAUCCGGAUUUAUUUGGGUUAAAGGGUUCGUAGGCGGAUUGAUAAGUUAGAGGUGAAAUGUCCGAGCUUAACUCGCGAACUGCCUUUAAUACUGUUGAUCUAGAGAGUAUAUGCGGUAGGCGGAAUGUAUGGUGUAGCGGUGAAAUGCUUAGAGAUCAUACAGAACACCGAUUGCGAAGGCAGCUUACCAAUCUAUAUCUGACGUUGAGGCACGAAAGCGUGGGGAGCAAACAGGAUUAGAUACCCUUGUAGUC
rnacentral:rRNA from 1 species